UAGCGUUGGAUUUGAGAAGUAAUUGCAAUCCUCUCUGUCAACAGAUGUUAACCUGGUGUCAUUUGAAAAGGGAUCCUGCCAAAGGAAGUCUCCUGCCACGGGAAGAGGAUCCCAGCAGCUCAGAAAACUCAGGAAGAUGUCAGCAGAGAAACUUCUUGGCAAGAAGAGGAAGAUCCUGCUCCUUCCUUCACUGACCGUGGCCAGCUCUGGGCAGACCCCAGCUGAGUAAAGAACGCAGAUUUAAUGUUAAAUGUACCUCUGCUUUAGCCAGAUUGGAAAUAUGUAAAGAGACAUCCCUAUAUCUGGAUCAUCAGAGACAAGGUCUCGCUCUGUUAUCCAGGCUGGAGUGGAA